AGGAGCAAGUGCGCCAAUCAAUUCUGAUGCGGUGAGAUGCACAGGGAGAGGCCUGCAUCGGCAAGGCUAGCAGGAGGCCGUCCUCAGGAGGUCUGCGCCACGACGCCGGUAGGUACGGCCGCAAGGAGUGAAUUAAGUAUCCAUGGUUGUUCUCUGUUUUACACCCAUAGCAAACUUCAGAUUUGAGCAUUGAUCCAACUGUUUAGUAGUAAACCAGAUCACUUAAUAUCAAUUGUUCACUCUGAGUGAAUCUCACAUCAAAACACCCAGUUUGCAACUGUACUGAAAUACAAGGUGUUGGACAAUUUGUUCAGGACUACGGUCUCUGAUUUAGGUGUAGGAGAAUAUAUUUUUUUGACGGGUAGGUGUAGGAGAAUUUCUUCAGACUAUGGGCCUCUGAUUUAGGUAUAGGAUAAUCUCUCUCCAUGUUAUGUUUAUCAUGUCCUUUGAAAAUGCAUGAAUCUCUACUAUCAUGUUCUUCAGAACAAAUUUAAGUCAUGGCUCAAAAACUUUCACACAGAUUCUUUUGAUUAGGAACGAAUGAAUGAUCAAUACUUAUACAUCUUCCUAUUAUUAGUUAAUUAGGAGCACCAUAGUACCUAGCUGUUAAUUUGUAGACGCUUUUAACUGUUACUUGUGAUUUUUCCUCUCCUUGCAGUUGGUCCUGUUUUCCCAUAUCAUCUGCUUUGUAGAGAUAAUCUCUCUUUGAUUAUGCAUUUGGCUUACUCAUUAGUUCUCCUAUUUGCUUCAGUAUCUUCACCAAGGAGUUCGGAGGCGAUGCAGCAGUGGUGAAGGCGAUGGUUGUGCCGGGUGCAGGCAGGUGCAGACGGGUACAUUCCUUGACAGUCAAUUGCUUUCGAUCCCAUCCGACUAUCAUGCAGUCUGACUUAAGAUGACUAAUUGUUUUUCAGGGUGAAUUGAGUUCAGAUCCUUGAACAAAUGAUUGUGAUUUUGUAGCUGCAGUGGUGCUAUUCUUUAUUAUUACUUGGUAUGUCAGUACUUCCUACCUACUUGAAUUUCCCUAUCCCCAAUUUAUGGGAUUUUUAAUUUUUGAUAUUUCCAUAAAUGAUUAUACACAACUUCUGAUAACACAUGCCACCUGGUUUCCGUUCUCUAUAAGAACUGAGAAGUACGUAUGCACUUCCACGACAUAUAGGUUCAUAUGGAUGUCUUUCAACGACAUAUAGAGAGAGUGAUAGGAUCAGACUAAGACAUGAAAGUCUGACACACAAACAAAAGUAUACGGCAUGUACAUACUGUUCUUUCAUAGUAUAUGGCAUGUAUAGAACGUUCACAUACAAACAAAGCUACCAAAAAAAAUAUUAGUAGAUGUACCACAAUGAUAGCUCAUGUACAAUCCAAAACAAAUAGUUAGUUUAAUUCAUUAAGUGGAUCCAUCAGCAGCAACAGUAACAACUUUAAGAAGAAGCAAUUUAUCAAAUAUGUAAUCAGACAAAACUGGGGACACAUUUACCUUUUGUGACUUUUAACUGUCCCGUCAAUGCAUCAUGUUCAUAAACACGUUUGACCGUUAGGCUGGGAGUGAUGUGCUUUCCUUUUCUUUUUUCUCCUUUUUCUGUUUAGAAUGCCCCUUUUUCUGUUGAUGAGGUCCUGUUAUGUUCUCUAUCAUCAUGAACCGUAUCUGGCAUGUUAAGGUCAGAUGUUGCAGUCUGCGAUAGUUCCUGUGGAACAAUCUUUACCGAAAUGAGUAGAAAGACAAUUAAAACCAAUGAAGAGUAUCUCCAGACAUUAGACAUUAAGAAUUGCCCUUUUGGUUGUGUCGUGCAAUUUUUAUACCUGGACUCCAUUUGGGGAGUUGAUCCAUAGUGGAGAUGCCGCUAAGAUGGCAUCAAUUGGCAUUUUUCGCAUUGAUCGUUUCUUUUUCCUUGCUACGUUGGUAUUGCUAGCAAGAUUUACCCUUUGGCAGUGAGAUCCACACGGGGUAAGGUCGUGUGAGGCUACAAAUGUUACAGCCAUUUAAUAACAGUAGAAAAACCUCAUCAACUAUAUGUAUGCUCAUUGUGAUAAAUAAUAAGAAAUUAUGCUCGCAAUUACCUGGCAUUGGCACUGGAGUCAUUCGGGAAUGAUGAUCAACAUUAGAGAUGUCACCAAGAGGGGCUCCGUUAGAGGCAUCACCAAUAGGGGGUCGGCACAGAUUUGGCGCCUCCAUAUCUUCAAACGUCAUGCUCCGUUGGCGCUCAAAAAUGAACUUAAAGAAAACAUUAAGAGGAGUAAGAAACUGAAUAGUUUGUGUGUGAUUUUCCAAAACUACAUUUGUAAAAGCGCAGAAGGAACUGAUGUAUAUUCAAUAAUGUACUGAAUCCACCUGUUCAGUUUGGCGAUUCUAAUGUACCAUGACCAGUAACUUUCCGCAAUAGAAAAUUCCAGUCGCCAAACAAAGCCAAACAUCGAUACCAUUAUUAGAUUACAUGAUCAUUUACACCUCUCAGAUUGAGAUGAUGCAUUAUCUUACGAAUUGAUAGAACAAAAAUAGGUAACUACAGAAACUCAUCUGGCCUGUCAAGUAACUAAUACAUUCUGUUGCUUUGAACAGACUUGUAUUCUUCUGCGCUCACUAUGCCUGCAAACAGAAGCACACGAUUUUGGAUGUCCUGAAGCGCAUACACACGAUUUUGUUUGACUUGGUAGUUUACUUGCAGUUUCAUCACAAUUUACACAGUUUUCUCCUUGUGCAUAAACCUCUGUAAGCGUUUAACCGUUAGCGUCUGCACCAUCUCUUUUGUAGGGUGUUGAAACUGCCCUUUUGUCAUAACAUUGAUACAGUGUGAUGCCUAUGGGAAGAAGUGGUGCUUUGAGAGAAUAGGUAUCUGGAUCUCCUGGUUAUAUACUCUUAGAAGUUAGAAAUCAGUUUUCUCUUAUUGAUGGUUAGCAUGCUUGCCUACUUCUGAAUCUUUUCUCCAGUUAUGUGAAAGCCAUCUAAAAUUGCAUCUACUCUUUCACUGUAACAGGUUACUGAAGUGCAGUCACGUGCAUUGGCUUUCUCAUGUGGGUUGGGCCUCAUACUUUUCUGUGAAAGCAAUCGCAUUAGGAGUAAACUGUUCAUGCGAUGGCUUUAUGAGAUGUGAUGCCUGUAUGAGAUGCGAUGAUGUAUGAGAUACGAUGGCUGUAUCAAAUAAUACCUAUAUCUCGUCGGCGUCUCCUCGUCCAGGAUCAGCGCCGGAUCCUGGACGUGUUCGGCGGCGGAUCCUGGACGUGUCCGAUGGAGGGCGGCGAGUGAAGCGCCUUUGAUGUGCGAGGCCGGCAGCGAAGGGAUAGAGCGGCGGCGGCGACGAAGGGAUGAAGGGCGGCGGCGAAGAGGGCAGAUAGUCGUGCGUGCGAGUGGUUCUCGCUCGGGCAGGAGACCUCACUUGUACGCGCGGGCGAUUGGUUUAGGUUUUUUUUCGCUGGUUAAUUUUCGUAGGGUUUUUUCUUCGCUGGUUAAUUUUCGUAGAUUUUUUUACUUCGUUUGUCUUGGGUGCGAUGGGAGGUUAGGCCCUGGAGUGCGUGGGGCGGGUGGGGGCCUCGGUACGAGGUUUUUUCGGUUCGUGGCGGCUCAGUGUGAGGUGAGAAAGGUAUAAAAAACCAUGAGAGGUGGAACGAAAAAAAACCUGAAAACGAGACUAUCAACUGCUCCUCCAUUAUAAGUAAAGAUUAAUUGGUGGGAAAGUAGAGGACAAUACUAAUUCAGAAGCAAUAUAUAAUUACGUACAUAUACAGUACAUGCAUGCAUGUCAGUCGAGAAGCUUUAUGGUGAUGUUGCCGAAUUUGAUAUUCUGG
rnacentral:lncRNA from 1 species